rnacentral:SRP_RNA from 1 species
GCCAGGCAUGGUGGUGCACGCCUGUAAUCCCAGCUACUCAGGAGGCUGAGGCAGGAGAAUCGCUUGAACCCAGGAGGCAGAGGUUGUAGUGAGCCGAGAUUGUGCCACUGCACUCCAGCCUGGGUGACAGAGUGAGACUCUGUCUCAA